rnacentral:rRNA from 1 species
CCCUAUGGGGUGCAGCAGGCGCGAAAACUUUACAAUGCGCGAAAGCGCGAUAAGGGGACCCCGAGUGCGAGGGCAUAACGUCCUCGCUUUUGUAUAUCGUAAGAAGAUAUACGAAUAAGGGCUGGGCAAGACCGGUGCCAGCCGCCGCGGUAAUACCGGCAGCUCGAGUGAUGAUCACUAUUAUUGGGCCUAAAGCGUCCGUAGCCGGUUGAACAAGUCCUUCGGCAAAUCCACUCGCUCAACGAGUGGGCUCUCGAGGGAAACUGUUCGACUUGGGGCCGGGAGAUCUGAGGGGUACGUCUAGGGUAGGGGUGAAAUCCUGUAAUCCUAGACGGACCGCCGGUGGCGAAAGCGCCUCAGAAGAACGGACCCGACGGUCAGGGACGAAAGCUAGGGUCUCGAACCGGAUUAGAUACCCGGGUAGUCCUAGCCGUAAACGAUGCUCGCUAGGUGUUGCGAAAGCUACGUGCUUUUGCUGUGCCGUAGGGAAGCCGUGAAGCGAGCCGCCUGGGAAGUACGUCCGCAAGGAUGAAACUUAAAGGAAUUGGCGGGGGAGCACUACAACCGGAGGAGCCUGCGGUUUAAUUGGACUCAACGCCGGAAAUCUCACCAGUACCGACAUUGCAGUGACAGUCAAGUGAUGACUUUACUCGAGCUCUGAGAGAGUGCAUGG